AAAACCCUAAUUCCUAUGCUUCUUUCUCCGCCGCUUCUCUGUUUUUGGCUAAUUAGAUUUCGUUUUAUUAGGAACUCUGUUUUGGCGAUGAUGAUCAAUGCUUAAUUUCUGACACCUCUUGUAUGAGAAGAGCUUGAUAACCUCUUCUUUGAGCACAUUAUGCAAUACUCUGAGCCUUACCAAUGAUUUUUUUACAAAGACAAGUUUUUUGGAUCUGAAUUAGGGUUUAAGAGUGCUAUGAUUGUAAAAGUAAUUCCUCGUACUGAAAGCCAAUGGCUUGAAAGACUCACAUUACUACCCAUAGAAUAUGAGCACUCACUCUUCUAAAUCCAGUUUUGGUUUUGUUGUUUAGCAUUGCAAAGUUGUGGCUUUAAUUCUUUGGUUUUGUUUUUUAGCAUUGUCCCUUUGUCUUUUAAGAGCCAUGUUUUGAAUUGUUGUUGAUAGAAUUAGUUUCGUUGAGCAAUGCCCAUUUUGUUGCAUUGAUAGUGAUUACUGAUUAGUGUUUCGUUUAUUAUUUAUGGUGUUGUUGUAUGUGUAGAGUAGUGGUGGUAAUUGGCGAGGAUGAAUAAUGCUAAAUUUCUGACACCUCUUGUAUGAGGAGAGAUUGAUAACCUCUCCUUUGAGCACAUUAUGCAAUACUCUGAGCCUAUCAUUAUCAUUAGGUUUGUUUUGUGUUUGUAGAUGAGUGUGGAUAUGAAUUGGGUUGGAUGCUAUGAUUGUAAAAGUAAUUCCUCGUACUGAAUGCUCAUAAGGCAUGAUAGACUUACAUUACUACCCAUAGAAUAUGAGCAUCACCCUUUUCUUCUGAUCAAAUUUUCCUUUCAUUGUUUAUUGUUUGUUUUUGGUUCCUUUCAAUAGCAUUAAAGAAUAAGUUGUUCAUUCUGGUUCCUUGAUUGUAUCGGUAGUUGGCUUACUGCUUUUUAUUGAUCUUCAUUUUGAAGAUUUUGUUGAGGAUUAUGAAUAUUGGAUGAAAAGUGUGUCUCAAGCUAAAGUAAACCUCUAGUGAUUUUCCAAAGUGCUAUGGGGAAAUUCCGAACCUGUAAUGGCAAACCUGACACGCAGUCUAAAAACUGUGUCUCGAGCUGUCUAUUGUGUAUAAGCUCCUCUACUGUCUGUGGUUGCUUUUUGUUAUGUUGGGAUUGGUGGAAGGAUCCAUAGAGAGACUUCAAUCUGCCUAUGUUGUUGAUGUUUCGUUACCAUUGUCUAAUCAUCUGUUGUGCACCAUAAGCAGAUGUUUCUGUGUAUUUUUACGCUUUAAAAUUAAUGUUGAACUUGCCUAGUUCUUCAAGAGCUACCAUUAUGUAAACUGCCCUUAAAGAACUAGGAUAUGUGUACAAAUUGGUAACUGCUUGUGUUUUUUGAAUCUUUCAAUAGCAGGAAAGAAACAAGCUGGAUUGUGUUUUAUCAUUCACAUAAGUUUUUCUCAGUUUAAGAGUCCAUAGAGCAUCGACAUCUGCCACUAUGAAGUAUAAACGUUCCUGUUUCAUAUAAUGGAACAGCUGGGGGUGGCUACUAACAAUAUGAGCCUUUCAAGGUGUCAUUCCCGUUGAUGAAUGUAAAGCAUUGUUUUACCAGAACCAUAGACAUUUUAGCCAAUGGUGGUGAACAAAACACCUUUGUUGAACUAUAUCCAUCCAAUGUGUAAGUAACUCUAAAAUGGUGCGAUUCAAAUCUACAACCAAAACCAACGUUACAUUUUCAAUAAUUAAUCACUUAUCUGUAAGAUACCACGAUUAACCUUAAUUAAGCCACCAAUAUUCAAAUCUACAUCCAAAC
rnacentral:lncRNA from 1 species